rnacentral:rRNA from 1 species
ACGCUCGACACCUACUGGAGGCAGCAGUGGGGAAUAUUGCACAAUGGGGGAAACCCUGAUGCAGCGACGCCGCGUGAGCGAAGAAGUAUUUCGGUAUGUAAAGCUCUAUCAGCAGGGAAGAAAAUGACGGUACCUGACUAAGAAGCACCGGCUAAAUACGUGUCAGCAGCCGCGGUAAUCUGAGCGGGCUGGCAAGGC